rnacentral:rRNA from 1 species
AUUGAACGCUGGCGGAAUGCUUUACACAUGCAAGUCGAGCGGCAGCGCGGGGGCAACCCUGGCGGCGAGCGGCGAACGGGUGAGUAACGCAUCGGAACGUACCUUGUAGUGGGGGAUAACUAUCCGAAAGGAUAGCUAAUACCGCAUACGCCCUGAGGGGGAAAGGGGGGAGUCGCAAGACCUCUCGCUACAGGAGCGGCCGAUGUCCGAUUAGUCUAGUUGGUGAGGUAAAGGCUCACCAAGGCGACGAUCGGUAGCUGGUCUGAGAGGAUGAUCCGCCACACUGGGACUGAGACACGGCCCAGACUCCUACGGGAGGCAGCAGUGGGGAAUUUUGGACAAUGGGCGCAAGCCUGAUCCAGCCAUGCCGCGUGAGUGAAGAAGGCCUUCGGUUGU